rnacentral:rRNA from 1 species
UACGAAGGGGGCUAGCGUUGUUCGGAAUGACUGGGCGUAAAGCGCGCGUAGGCGGAUGUGACAGGCAGAGGUGAAAUCCCGGGGCUCAACCUGGGAACUGCGUUUGAAACGACGGGUCUGGAGGUCGGGAGAGGUGCGUGGAAUUCCCAGUGUAGAGGUGAAAUUCGUAGAUAUUGGAAAGAACACCGGUGGCGAAGGCGGCGGCCUGGUUCAUUACUGACGCUGAGGCGCGAAAGCGUGGGGAGCAAACAGG